GUGCUUGCUUCAGCAGCACACAUACUAAAAUUGGGACAAUGCAGAGAUGAUUAAUAUCGCCCCUGCAUAAGGAUGACACACAAAUUUGUGAAGUGUUGUGUAUUUUU